UGGAAGACUAGUGAUUUUGUUGUUAUAGCAACAACAAUCUAUGGUCUCCUGCA
rnacentral:pre_miRNA from 1 species